rnacentral:misc_RNA from 1 species
GUGAGAGUGUAUGCAGUCAUGCAAACUUUCAAUACUAUAGUAUAGUCCCCUUAUUUAUCUAGAAAAUUCACACAGGGCAAGUGUAUCUUAUAUUCAUUUAUAUUAUUUCUGGAAAUUUGUUUGAACAAUAUGCCAGCAAUUCAAAAUCAAAACAAUGAGAUCAAAAAGACCAAGGAAUCUGAAAAGGGAAUUGAUGAAGAAUCUGCACUACAACAGACA